ensembl:lncRNA
GUCUGGAUAGUUGGAUAGGUCUGGAUAGGUGGAUAGGUCUGGAUAGUUGGAUAGGUCUGGAUAGUUGGAUAGGUCUGGAUAGUUGGAUAGGUCUGGAUAGUUGUAUAGGGCUGGAUAGUUGGACAGGGCUGGAUAGUUGGACAGGGCUGGAUAGUUGGACAGGGCUGGAUAGUUGGACAGGGCUGAAUAGUUGGAUAGGUCUGGAUAGUUGGAUAGGUCUGGAUAGGGCUGGAUAGGGCUGGAUAGUUGGAUAGGUCUGGAUAGUUGGAUAGGUCUGGAUAGUUGGAUAGGUCUGGAUAGUUGGAUAGGUCUGGAUAGUUGGAUAGGGCUGGAUAGUUGGAUAGGGCUGGAUAGUUGGACAGGGCUGGAUAGGGCUGGAUAGUUGGACAAGGCUGGAUAGUUGGACAUGGCUGGAUAGUUGGACAGGGCUGAAUAGUUGGAUAGGUCUGGAUAGUUGGAUAGGUCUGGAUAGGGCUGGAUAGUUGGAUAGGGCUGGAUAGUUGGAUAGGGCUGGAUAGUUGGAUAGGUCUGGAUAGGUGGAUAGGGCUGGAUAGUUGGAUAGUUC